rnacentral:rRNA from 1 species
UACAGAGGGGGCAAGCGUUGUUCGGAAUUACUGGGCGUAAAGGGCGCGUAGGCGGCCCUCUAAGUCAUGCGUGAAAUCCCCGGGCUCAACCCGGGAACUGCGUCUGAUACUGGAUGGCUUGAGUUCGGGAGAGGGAUGCGGAAUUCCAGGUGUAGCGGUGAAAUGCGUAGAUAUCUGGAGGAACACCGGUGGCGAAGGCGGCAUCCUGGACCGACACUGACACUGAGGAGCGAAAGCCAGGGGAGCAAACGGG